GAGUUUGAUCCUGGCUCAGAACGAACGCUGGCGGCGUGCCUAACACAUGCAAGUCGAACGUGAUCCAGAGCCUGCUCUGGUGAAAGUGGCGCACGGGUGAGUAACGCGUGGAUAACCUACCCUGGUAUCCGGGAUAACAUUCCGAAAGGGGUGCUAAUACCGGAUAAGCCCACGGGCUCUUUGGAGCUUGCGGGAAAAGGUGGCCUCUAUUUAUAAGCUACUGUAUCAGGAUGGGUCCGCGUACCAUUAGCUAGUUGGCGGUGUAACGGACCACCAAGGCGACGAUGGUUAGCUGGUCUGAGAGGAUGAUCAGCCACACUGGAACUGAGACACGGUCCAGACUCCUACGGGAGGCAGCAGUGGGGAAUUUUGCGCAAUGGGGGAAACCCUGACGCAGCAACGCCGCGUGAGUGAUGAAGGCCUUUGGGUCGUAAAGCUCUGUCAGAGGGGAAGAAAUGAUAUAGUGCUAAUACCACUUUAUCUUGACGGUACCCUCAAAGGAAGCACCGGCUAACUCCGUGCCAGCAGCCGCGGUAAUAC
rnacentral:rRNA from 1 species